rnacentral:lncRNA from 1 species
GAAUUAUACGAAGGACCUGGCCGCAAGAAGGCAUUGAGCCCCGAGGAGGACAACAGGCCUCAGGUACUUCAUGUGAUUAAAGCUGAGACAAGGGGAGUCCCAUGGGUCAGUCCUGUAACUGGGGUCUGAUAUACACUAGUGAUAGGCAUUAGCAUAGUUUGCACAUUAUAUGAUAGUCUUGGUCCUUUUCAUUUCCUGAUAAGCUGGAAUGUCUGACAGAGUAAAUUCCAGAUGCCCUUGUGGAAUUCUCAUUACGAUCAUGUUGCUAAGGAACUGUCUUCUACCUGUAUGCAAUUUGGAAAUACUAUUAAUAGUAUUAACAUGGAGUUUUGCAGUGUGUGGGUUUAUUUCUUAUUGUAUUUAUAAUCACCCCCACCACUACCUUCCCACCGCUGGCUCACCAUCUGAGGAGCUGGCAUCAGGAAACUCAAGAAAGAAGGAAGGAAGGAAGGAAGGAAGGAAGGAAGGAAGGAAAGAAGGAAGGAAGGAAGGGAAAGGUUGUCCAGGCUUCACAGGAAGAACUGCAUUUGUAUUAUUCUGUAUUGAAUUCUCAGGACCUCCACAUUGCAGGCAUCUAGAGGCUCCAAUUAAUAGUUGAUAAAUCUUGAAGGGAGGAAAAAAUAGUCACAGAAAGUUCACUUGAGUGACCUGAAAUUCUAUAGCAAUUUAGCCAGGGAGCCGGGAGGAGAAUAUGCCCUUCCAACUUGCAGGCCAGCUCUCUGCAGGAAGCCAGGCAGCUCUCCCAGGGGAAGCAGUGGCCAGGGCAAGCAUGGGUCUUGAAGCUCAGGACUGGCUUUAGGACUCUGGCUCAGACAAGAUGGGUGGCUCAAAGGUAUUGAAGGGCUAGGUAGGGCCCUGAAAAUUGGGCCUUUCUGCAGCAAUCAUCAGGGAGACUAAUGGUCCUGGGCUAGGGAAGGAGUCUUCUUGGCCCAGAAUGGCCAAGCAGCCAAAUAUUAGAGCACCUCCAGGGAGGUGUCCCUGGAAAGGGUCCUCCCCCAGUCAGCUCCUGCGGAGUGCAGGCAGGUUUGGGGGUCUCUCCUCUAGGAGAGAUCCAGGGAGCUUGAGAGCAAAAGUGACAAUGUGCCUGCCUUCUUCCUUCUCUGUAGGGCUCUGUUCUCUUUCUUCUUUUUUGAGGCAGGAUCUUUUGCUUUAUUGUCCAGGUUGGAGUGCAGUGGCAUGAUCACGGCUCACUGCAGCCUCAGCCUCCUGGGCUCAAGCAAUCCUCCCACCUCAGCUUCCUGAGUAGCUGAGACCAUGCCUGGCUAAUUUUUAAGUUUUUUUGUAGAGACGAGGUCUCAUUGUGUUGCCCAGGCUGGUCUUGAACUCCUGGGCUCAAGCAAUUCUCCCACCUCAGCCUCCCAAAGCACUGGGAUUAUAGGCGUGAGCCACUGUGUCUGGCCUGCUCUCUUUCUUAAGGAGAAGGCUUCUGUUAUUUUUUGGUCAAUUGGGUGCAGAAAGCCUGUUCCCCAUGGACAACCCUUGAGGGGGUCAGAAUGUCAGCAGAAGGGAAAGGAUGGCUUUCCAAGAGUGUUCUGUGCUUGGGCAUAACCGUCUCUUGUGUCCUGCUCCUGAGAGCCAUGAGACUAAGAGCAUGGGACAGAGGCAGUGACUGAACUGGGCUUGAGAACACCUUUGUUUGCUGGGCCUGUUUUCCUACCAAGAGCCUGUCAGCCCGGGUUUUGGAAGGCCAAUCCAGGAGAAUACGGGAGGUUGCAGGCAGCUCUGACCAGCCUGUCUCUCCCCACCCCUUGUUUCAGACCUCUCCAGAGUCCGAUGUCCUUCUGCACAAGUCCUUGUUGUCCAGUCUGUGGCCCAAACACCCACAGGGCAUGGUGGAGGCCUGAGACAGUGCUGGUUUUGCUGGGGCCAUCAGAAAAGCUU